rnacentral:rRNA from 1 species
UACAGAGGGUGCGAGCGUUUAAUCGGAAUUACUGGGCGUAAAGCGUGCGUAGACGGUUAUUUAAGUCGGGUGUGAAAGCCCCGGGCUCAACCUGGGAAUUGCAUUCGAGACUGAAUAGCUAGGGUACGGUAGAGGGAAGUGGAAUUUCCGGUGUAGCGGUGAAAUGCGUAGAUAUCGGAAGGAACAUCAAGUGGCGAAAGCGAACUUCCGUGGACCAGUACCGGACGUUCAGGCACGAAAGCCGUGGGG